rnacentral:rRNA from 1 species
UACGUAGGGUGCAAGCGUUAAUCGGAAUUACUGGGCGUAAAGCGUGCGCAGGCGGCUUUGCAAGACAGAUGUGAAAUCCCCGGGCUCAACCUGGGAACUGCAUUUGUGACUGCAUGGCUAGAGUACGGUAGAGGGGGAUGGAAUUCCGCGUGUAGCAGUGAAAUGCGUAGAGAUGUGGAGGAACACCGAUGGCGAAGGCAGCCUUCUGGGCCAAUACUGACGCUCAUGCACGAAAGCGUGGGGAGCAAACAGG